UAAUACGAAGGGUGCAAGCGUUACUCGGAAUUACUGGGCGUAAAGCGUGCGUAGGUGGUUCGUUAAGUCAGAUGUGAAAGCCCCGGGCUCAACCUGGGAAUUGCAUUUGAUACUGGCGGACUAGAGUGCGGUAGAGGAGAGUGGAAUUCCCCGGUGUAGCAGUGAAAUGCGUAGAGAUCGGGAGGAACAUCAGUUGCGAAGGCGGCUCUCUGGACCAGCACUGACACUGAGGCACGAAAGCGUGGGAGCAAACAGGAUUAGAUACCCUGGUAGUCCACGCCCUAAACGAUGCGAACUGGACGUUGGGUGCAAUUGAGCAUUCAGUGUCGAAGCUAACGCGUUAAGUUCGCCGCCUGGGGAGUACGGUCGCAAGACUGAAACUCAAAGGAAUUGACGGGGGCCCGCACAAGCGGUGGAGUAUGUGGUUUAAUUCGAUGCAACGCGCAGAACCUUACCUGGCCUUGACAUGUCGCGGACUUUCCAGAGAUGGAUUGGU
rnacentral:rRNA from 1 species